AAUGUUCAGUGUUGGAAUUGGCCAGAAGUGUCCUAUGCACAGAGCAAUGGGAUGCUUGACGGGACAAAGGUGUAGGGGCGGGCAGAGUAGCCCUCUGUACCUUUUUAAACUAAAGACAAGCCAACUGCUUUCUACAUUUUAUUUAGUGAAGGAAAAAAAAAAACGUCCAGGUGAGAGGUAACUACCUCUUCGUUGCAUCAGUCUCACUCAUGCAGUUUUGAGUUGAGACAACCAGCUUGAAGCUGUUACCUGUAGGUGGUGUCGUGAACACUGCAGUGUUAUGGAGGGCAGGGGUUUUGACACAGGUUGGCAGCAGAGGCCGAAGUCUUUUCCACUUUCCAACCCCGUGGAUGAUAUGCCACCUGGCUGACUUCGACUCACCCAACCUGGGACGGUUGACCUUCAGGGCCUCCUGGACUCGGAGCAGCGUAGGAGAGAUCUGGAAGUCAGUCUGGCUCGGGUCGAAAGUGCUCUGCAGAAACAGAGGCUCCGACUGCUCCAGAGAAUGGGCUGAGGGAGCCGACAUGCACAACCCCAGAUACUUGUUUUGAAUCUUCGGCAGAUCAAACGACCAGUAAAACUCCAUCCCAGACUGUUAUCAGGGAAUGUCUACAUCCCACCAUGUGGUGACCUUUACUGAAGGAGCGAGACAACCUUGAGCAUCUGUUGGAGGAGUCUAGGGCCUGGUGGAGCAGGUAAGGGAUACCUCAGAGGCCCGUAUGGAAGCCCUCCACUCCCAGCUGUAUUAGGAACGCUUCAGCCUCCAGGAAACACACAGAGACUGGCCACAAAGACAGAGCAACAUGGCAGCAAGCAGGUGGAGCCAUGGAAGACCAGACCAACUAAACUGGUACAGGGAUUCACACCCAAAAUGGAUUCAGGUGGUUCCUUAUACACUUCGUAUUUGUACAGAAGCAUGUAAUCUUGCCAGACAUCUCGGUAGUAUCUAACCCAGGCCUCACCGGAUAAGGCUAACAGAAAACUGAAAGGGGUUGUGAACCAGUAGAAGUCAGGUUUUACCAAUCAUCACACCAGUUGUGAGUAGCCACACAACAGUUGUCUCUAUAAUAAUGCCACAGUAAAGACAUAUACUAUUUUGUGUAACACCACUUUGUUGGCUGAUGAUCUGCAGAUGAAUGAGUCCCUGUAAAGGGAGGUGGUGUCUCUCAGACAGAGGCUGGGGUCUGCAGAGGAGUGACCAACCUGAUGGAGAGUGACAGGCUACUCAGGGUUCUCCUAGCGGCACCGGAGACUGAGCGGGAGGAGCUGCUUCAACAAGGACACCCCUCAGCCCUUGGGUAAGGAACCCCCAGCCUCUAAUAUUGGUGCACUUCGAGGGCUGAAAGAAUCAGAUGGAUAAAAUCAAUGUGGUUCUACUUUGCUCUUUUUAUAGGCUGGGUAGAAUGUCCUCCGUAUUACUGCCUUACGCCUAUCCAAACCUUAUGGUCGUCAUAGAGUAUGGGUGGAUUUGGGAUGGAAUCAGUAUCUCUACCUUUAUCUUGAGGUAAUGGAGAAUUUUAUUUUCUCAUUGUUUUCACUCUUUGCAUCAUCAGAGUGCUGAUAGCUCCAGAACACGGAGAAACAGUCAGACUUCUAACGGAGGAACAAAAACCAGUGGUUUGUCAGUCCAAUUGGAAAUGGUCAGACUUAUAAAGGAAGAGCCAGAAGCAUGGGUUUGUCAGUCCACAUCUUUUUGUCUCUUAGGAGCACUUGGGAAACGAAAGUGGAAAUCUUUGGAAAGGAGGAGAGGGUGAGGGAGGAGAGUGCCGUGUAUGAAAUGGAGGAACAAGAUGAGGAGGAGAGAUUGGAAGGGAAUAAUGUGUCUGUUAUUCAUCUGCAGUCAAAAUUCAGUGAGGACUUAAGAUCCGUGAGGUGACCCACUCUAGGCCUGGCCCACAGAAAGAAAUAAAGGAAGAGAACCUGGUAACUGCCUCUUUGGGAGUCCUUUCCUACAGCACCAUGUCACGUUGAAGCGGUCUAACAUGUGGCAGACUGAUUCCUUUCAAACAUACCUCUCCUCCAAACUCCACUUCAGCAGUUCCCAAACUUUCAUUUAACAUAUAAAAAUGUGAUAUAAUAUAACAAGCAUAUAUUUUUUUUAAACCUGAGAUAUUAUGUAUUAUACUUCCAGUACUUUAUGUUAAAAUAUCACUUUAGUAAAGUUCAUGCAACCUGAGAACCAUUUUUAUGCCAAGAUGCUACUUUUUGCAGUUUACUGUGCUACAUGCUUCACCAUCCAGUAUAUGCCAACACAUGCUGAAUAGACAAGCUAUAGACAUACCUAUGAGUUAUGUGUAUUGUGGAUUUCUGAGGAUUCUCUGGCUUAGAAUACUGCUGAUCAAAGAUAAUUCUAGACAGUCUCUGCCUCUGGUCUGUGAGGGGAAAGAGGGGAAUCUGGAGAGCCCAUUCUCUAACAGCUGUGCUCAAAUCUGGCUAUGUAUACAUUAUAACAACCUUAUGUAACAGCAAGCUUGUUACAGCCACAAAGCCCAUGACCAAUGUCCAUUUCUUCAUGUAACACCCAAUUACACUGGUUGACACAGAGUGCCAUUGUCUUAGUCUGAGGACUCUGACAUGUUCUUGUUUAUUGUUGAGGCUGGUGAGGAGUUUUGAUUUCUGGCUUAAGCUAAUACUAAUCCCUCUCUGAGACUAUUUUCUUUGGCCCUGAGCUUGUGGUCCACGGUGCACUGCCUUUUACUGCCCUGGUCCCCGAGGACACAUAAACAUGGAUUCGUGGGAUAUGCAGACUGGGAAGACAUGGUUGGAAUACCGCAGGGCUAGACACUUUCUCUCACCGAUAUGACACUGUCAUUAUGAAAGGACCAAUCAGAGCUGGGUGAUAAUGAUGUCAUUAUGAAGGACUAAUCGGAGAGAAGGGUUAAGACAGAACUACGUUUAGGAUGUAAAGAAAGCACUCCUAGAUAGCAGUAUUUUUCUUUGAAAAAUAUGUAAAGACGGUUAUUUUGUAUUUAUAUUAUUAUCAUAAUAUAUGCCAUUUAGCAGUUGCUUUUAUCCAAAAUGACUUAGUCAUGCGUGCAUACGUUUUAAGUCUGGGUGGUCCUGGGAAUCAAACCCACUAUCCUGAUGUUGCAUGCACCAUGCUCUACCAACUUAGCUACUUCAUAUUUUCCUCUGUUCUUUUCACUUCCAAGUACACUGCUUACUCAGGAAUAGGUGUUACAUAAUGUUAUUACAUUCAUACUGACCAAUCCUGGCACUUUAUUCAUGGAGCAUACUGGACUAAUCUCCCCCUACAGUUUAGCUGAUCUUGCACUAAUGUUAUUUGUUGCAACUGAGAGGUAUGUGCCCAAAACCAUGUACUUAUGGCUGUCUGGCUGAUGCAACGUUGCAUGACUCCACACUGGCACAGACCGCACAGACAGUCCUUCUUGAUUGAGGAAGCUGGAAACUUCCUACUCACUAACACUCUCACUUUAUUCUUCCACCUUCUUCUCUGUUACAUUCUCUCGCUCUCUCUCAUUAUGAGGAAAUGGGAUGAUCCCUGUCAUGAGAUUUUCCAUUGACGUCAUCAGAGUCCAAGAUUUCCAUGUGUUCUCAGUGUAUGCUUGUCCCUGUUGCUUUUUAACAGCCCCAUGUCUGCUAAUUUCAACGGCGAUACAAACAUCAAACUAGGUAUGUUUCAUGUUAACAUUGCUCCACAAUUGACUCCUGAUAAGUACACUUCAGAUACUGUAAGUGUAAUCUGUUUUAGUGCAAUAAAGUUGCAUUUACCAGACGUUGACUGUAAUCCAAAAUAACUACUAUUCAUACAAUGUUAAUGCAACCCUAUCAUUCCAUGUACAGAACCUGCAGGAAUCCUAGCGCAAAUCCUCCUUUUGAAAACCCAGGAGUUACACCAGCAGGUAAGAAUGAAAACAAAUAGUCAUGUGGAGAUUGAAUAGAUACACCUCCCUGUUUCACAUAAAAUGUCUUCCAUGCGUUCCAUUCCAUCUACUACAUAAUGAUGUACUUCGGUUUCACAGGCGGAGAAAGUCCUGGCGGUGAGGCACAUUCUUAGUUAAAAAGAUGCUAUCUACAACCUAAAAGGGUUCUUUGGAUAUCCCCAUAGGAGACCUCUUUGAGUUCCAUGUAGAACCCUUGCCACAGACGGUUCUACAUGGAACCCAAAAGAGUUCCCCUAUGGGAACAGCCGAAGAACACUUUUGGAACAUUUUUUUCUUCCCUAAGUGUAGCCACAGAUGGCAGACUUGGUGCCCUUGGGACCAGUAUUUGUCAUGAAGCUUAACUUUAUACCGUCCUUCCUCAUCUGUGUCUCAUCUCAGGACAGAGAGAAGGGGCUGGUAUUUGUCAGUCGCUGGAAUUCAUGGCAGCCAGUCCAGUCAGUCAUUGGCAUCAUCAUAAUCAAAUUCUUAGUAUCACCUCACACCAAGUUGCCCAUAUAUCUAUAUACCAGGCGGUGUCAGACUGUUCUUUCUGCUACUGCACGGCAAGCGGUACCGGAACACCAAGUCCAAGAGGCUUCUGCUUCUACCCCCAAAC